AAUAUUGCACAAUGGGGGAAACCCUGAUGCAGCAACGCCGCGUGAGCGAUGAAGGCCUUCGGGUCGUAAAGCUCUGUCCUAAGGGAAGAUAAUGACGGUACCUUAGGAGGAAGCCCCGGCUAACUACGUGCCAGCAGCCGCGGUAAUACGUAGGGGGCAAGCGUUGUCCGGAAUAACUGGGCGUAAAGGGUGCGUAGACGGCCCUGCAAGUCAGAAGUGAAAGGCUACGGCUCAACCGUAGUAAGCUUUUGAAACUGUAGGGCUUGAGUGCAGGAGAGGAGAGUAGAAUUCCUAGUGUAGCGGUGAAAUGCGUAGAUAUUAGGAGGAAUACCAGUUGCGAAGGCGGCUCUCUGGACUGUAACUGACGCUGAGGCACGAAAGCGUGGGGAGCGAACAGGAUUAGAUACCCUGGUAGUCCACGCCGUA
rnacentral:rRNA from 1 species